ensembl:lncRNA
CGUGCUGGGUUUUCUUUCUAAAUUUAAAAAAUGAUCUAUUUAUUUACCUGUUUAGUGAAUUCCGGUGCGUUACCGAGUGCUGCGGUGUUACCAUCCAGUUUAUCUCCAAUAUUCACGUUUUAUGAGUGCUCUUUUCCAGUUGAAGAUGUCAAGAGUUAUCUGCUUUCCAGAUCUGAAUGGAAUUCUUCUGCAUCAGAACAGUUGAUAACUUAUCCUUGGGAGAUGAAGAAAGUCAUGUUGCAGUUCCUUUGAGAAGUUUAAGGACUUCAGCAGCUGUAGAUACUUUUUCCUAUUUAAAUGCCUAUGACCAGGUAUCAUAUCAUAUUGCCAAAAUCUGAGACUCAGACUGUCUUGUACAGUGUUAGUGGCAGAUACAUUGAAUGGAGUGGGGAGUGUUAGGACUUGGCACUCUGUUAAAAAUAGUAUUUUGAGAUAAAUUAUUUGUUGCACUGUUGGAAGGCUUGUUCGGGAACGAGCAUAAUGGGUUAGUACUAACAUCCAUCUUGCCCAGUACUUUGAUCCUGACAGUUUUACAGAGGAACUCAUUUUGGAGCCAGUGCCAGUCUCCAUUCUGUGUUGGCAAGAAGCCUAUUCUUGAUCUUCUAAAGAUUUUAACUCUGAAGUGUAAGGCUUGGUAUCUUUAAAAAUAAUUCUUAUUCCUAUGGAUGUAUUAUGAAAACUUCUGUUCCACCUUUACAUAUUGGUAGGCUUGUUUCAGUGACUUCCUAUAUGUGAAUUUUACUGACACUGUAUGAUUAUAUUUUUUUCCUUAAAAAUAGAUUGUUUUCUCUUUUUCUUGACAGGAGGGACAGCUGUUCCUGCUCAGCCCUUUCAGUAUCAUAGUUUCAUUUCUCUUCAGUUAAUGUAAAUAUCUGGUGAGCUGUACUGUUUGCAAAGAGUAAAGAGGUUCUGUGUCCAUUUGAAUGUGAUAACUCACUGUGGGAAAAGCUGAGUGUAGCUUCAUCUUGUGCUACACAGGCAACUCAGGACAACAGGUCAUUUGAGAAAGUCAGUCUACAGAUAUCAUUUAACCACUUAUAUUUUUGCAUACUCUUUUUAAAGGAGAUUUUGGUAAUAGCUGGCAGUAUGUCUUUGAAUCAGAGCAUUGACAUUCAGUAUUGUCAGUGAAGAUUCUCAGACUGUGUAUGAAGAUACUGUAUACACGGUUGAAAUGGUAGCAGCUCCUUACAAAUAAUUUGGGUUUAGGGCCGGUUGUUUCCCACAAAAGGGAAAAAAGAUACUGUAAUUGUUUCAGUAAGCUAGUGUGAUUUUUCUUUGUCCUCCUUCACUUUUGCAUAGUUCCCUAGACCACUUUCCAUAGGACUGCUCAGCAGAAAGCAGAGGUCACCAAAUUGAUGCUUAAAGUUGUUGAACUUCUGUAAGAAAUGUAGUUUGGUUCUCCUGCAUGAUGUUUACAUUUUUGUGUGUUUGUUGUGGUUUGGGAGGGGUUUUGUUUGUUUUUCUAAAUGCAAAGCAAGUGCUUUGAUUCCCUGUGGUUGGGGAAACUGUGCUAAACUUAGGCUUUACUCUUGUCAGGUUGCCUGUCCCUGUGCUAACUUGAAAACUUGAAGAGGUGACCAUUUGCUGUGACUUAAUGAUGUUUAUGCUCUCUCCUAUGGAUCUCUCCUCCUUUUCCUUCCCUGAAGCAACAUCACAAAAGGAAUACACUGUGCAAGAUUUUCUCCUUGCAGUUAAUAGUACCAAGUGCUUAUUUUGAUGAGAAAAUGUUCUUUAAAACAUUCUAGAAUAAGAAAAGAAAAUGCUCUGCUGUGUUACCAUUGUUGUGUGCCUAAUCCUGAAAAAGAGAGAACUUUGCCCCAAACACUUUACAGUUUGUUUGGGAUCCAGCCAGUGUAUGUAAUUGGAAAUUGAAUUUCCAGUCAGGAAAGGAAAAUGAAGGGAGAAUAAAGGAAACAUCAGUAAUGUGUUGGACAAAUGAUAUAAAAUUACUGUAACUCUUUACUGCCCAUCCAUUUAAGAGAGGUGUUAUUGCAGGACUAAUCUUGGGGGAUCUGAAAGAACCAAAUGUUAAGAACUUCACUUGAACAAGAUGAUGUAUUUUUACAUGUGGAAAAAAGGUGUAAGUUGUGGUGUAGUAACCUGAAGUGGCAGCUUUUUUUGCUGUAUGUCUUAGGCCUUGGACUGUCAGAACAUUUUAUGCUGUAGCAUACUGGUACCUUUUGCUAAAUUUUGUUCUCCAUAGCUUAUCCUACCUGGCUUCUUGUGAUUUAAGGGUGGGGGAAGGAGGGAAGUGUAAAGUGGAAAGUAACACUGUCUAGGGCCAAAAGAAGGUCCCUGAUGUAUUACAAGAGUUUGUAUUUCUGCUUUCUAUCUUGAUGUUUCUAUAGAAAAGUCUACACUGCUUCUUAGAAGUCCCUGUGUUAUGGAGCUGUGCUGGAUUUUGAAGGUCAGUGCUGCUGGACUGUGUAGAUAUCAAAACAUUAGUGCUAUUUAAGAGUCAUAUCUUUUCCUACUGUAACUACUGUUUGGCUCAUGUAAUGAUCCAUAGUUCAGAUAUACAGUUUAGGAAAGAUCAGCAAGAAGUUCCAUUUUGAGGAUAUCUCUAAGAAGGAGUUGCAAACAACAAAAAUAUAUGAGAAAAAAUUAAUUAAUUAUUAUAAGUAAGAUUUACUUUUCCACAUGGAAAUUGUUAUUAUAAUACCAUUUCACUGGGAUUUUCUAGGAGUAGAAAUGGUUCUCUUAAAAGUAUCCUGUUAAAAAACCCAGCAGCUCAACAACAAAUGAAUCAAUAUGGCUGUGUCUGGCUCUUCAAGUUGUAUUGUACAGUGUUUCCAGGAAUUAUGUUCUCUCUUCUCCUGCAUGAGGCAGAUAAUGACUACAUAAAUGUAAAACUGAAAUCUGCAAUUUUGCAUUUGAGGGUAUGGAUCAGCACAUAAAGGGUCAAUCUACAGUAGCAAAAGUGUCCUUGGAAAGAAUGAACUGGUCACAAAAUUUCUGCUGAAGUGUUUGUUAAACUGAGAGGAAAAACAAAAGCUCAUGCCUACACAACUUCAGGGUGAAAAUGCUGGAUACCACUAGGACCUUGCUAUUGUUGGUUUCCACACGGUUUUUAGAAAAACACCCACUCAACUUCACUCUCAGCUAGUGCUUUAAAUUCUCUUAUUGCUAGAGAUGGUGUUUUUACUUGCUCUUAUGUAGUUCACUAUCUUCCAUCUAAAUUACAUCCCUUUUAGUGAACGUGGCUUUUGUCCUCGGUUAAACUAAAUAAAACUUGAAAUAUGUUACAGUCUGGGAACCUAUUAUGAGGUCCAUUUGUGUUAGACACAUAUUGUUCUACAAAACCAAAGAGAUGACCCAGGUUUCAGAGUUACACUCUGAGCCCACUGCCAGAGAUCCCUCCCUAUGGAUACUGCAGAACUGGCAAGGGCAUUUUUGAUAUGUGGUGUUCUGCUGGUUUAUUGUGUAAACAUACACUUCUAACAAGUGCGUUCCCACCCCAUCCACUCCUUCCCUAAUUUCACCUUCCCAUGUGCCACAUGCUGUAUUUUAGUUUGGUAGCUGCAGAUGGGUCUGGACAUUCUAAAAGAAUGUACUGAUACCUCUCUGCACUGUGUGACUUUACAAAGAAGCUUUUGUAUUAAUUAACUGAUAGCAGUCUUUGCUUCACAAUAAUAGAUGGAAGCAAAAAAAAGAAUCCUCUUUUACUUGUAAAAAAAUUAACCAAAACUGGAAGAGACAAACCUCCCUCCCAGCAAGUAUUCAAGUGUUUAUGAAAAUCAAUAACUCAUGUGUUACUGGUUACUAGGUGUGAAUAUGAGUCCAUUACUGAUAAAGACCAUGGAAAAAACUGCUUUUAAGAUAUAAUCAAAUUUAGAAAAUCAGUAAUUUUUUUCUCAGUGCAAUUGCUGGAGAUAACAAUA